rnacentral:rRNA from 1 species
AUUGAACGCUGGCGGCAUGCCUUACACAUGCAAGUCGAACGGCAGCACGGGUGCUUGCCCCUGGUGGCGAGUGGCGAAAGGGUGAGUAAUACAUCGGAACAUGUCCUGUAGUGGGGGAUAGCCCGGCGAAAGCCGGAUUAAUACCGCAUACGAUCUACGGAUGAAAGCGGGGGACCUUCGGGCCUCGCGCUAUAGGGUUGGCCGAUGGCUGAUUAGCUAGUUGGUGGGGUAAAGGCCUACCAAGGCGACGAUCAGUAGAUGGUCUGAGAGGACGACCAGCCACACUGGGACUGAGACACGGCCCAGACUCCUACGGGAGGCAGCAGUGGGGAAUUUUGGACAAUGGGCGAAAGCCUGAUCCAGCAAUGCCGCGUGUGUGAAGAAGGCCUUCGGGUUGUAAAGCACUUUUGUCCGGAAAGAAAUCCUUGGCUCUAAUACAGUCGGGGGAUGACGGUACCGGAAGAAUAAGCACCGGCUAACUACGUG